UGGACACUGGGCGCAAGCCUGAUGCCAGCCAUGCCGCGUGCAGGAUGACGGUCCUAUGGAUUGUAAACUGCGUUUUGUACGAGAAAGAAACACUCCUGACGUGUCAGAGGGCUUGACCGGUAUCGUAACGAAUAACGGAUCGGCCUAACUCCGUGCCAGCAGCCGCAGGUA
rnacentral:rRNA from 1 species